AGAUUCCUGUGGCACCCGUUGUGCCUCCUAGAGGGCCGGUACAGAUGACUGAGGCCGAGCAGGAGCGAAUGACAGAGAGGUUAGCUCAUUUUCGCCGUUUUGAUCCGCCGACCUUCGAUGGCAGUUGCACUGAGGCCUGGGUUGUUGAGGGCUGGGUCAGUGCAAUGGAGAAGCUGUUCGAGGAUCUGUUCGUUCCUGAGAGGGAGCAGGUGUCUUUGAGAAUACACUGCUUAGCAGGCGAUGCUCAUGCCUGGUGAAGGAGGGUGAGACGAGACUAUGGAUUAGUGGAGUUGCAGCUGAAGUUGGACGAGUUCUGUGGAAUGCUGUUCGGGAUGUAUUUUCCCAACAGUGUGAAACAGAAGCUCGAGGAGGAUCUGAAGAGAAUUCAGCAAGGCGAGCGGACAGUUC
rnacentral:lncRNA from 1 species